GGAAGUAUGCUAGCUAGAAGCGUUUGCAUAUAUGUUAUAAUAUCAACUAAUUUAUGCGCUACAACCAAUCACCCAUUAAGAUAGCUAGAAGCAUAUACUAAGCAAGCAAGCGCAGCAAAAAAUUAUAGCUGCCCAGUUCUUAGAAAGUUCAGAUUUCAGCAAACUAUAUAAUAAAUUCAGCUCAGAUAUUGAAGAAAUCAACCACUUUUUGCAGCAGAUGGCCAGCCUUGUCGGCAUUGGGGUUGAACAAAUGAAAGCAAUGGUCCUCUCCUUUUGUCUCAAACAACUCCGCAAACCCUUCCCCUUUCAGUUUCUCUAGAGUCUCAUGGUAGGUUAA
rnacentral:lncRNA from 1 species